rnacentral:rRNA from 1 species
AGCGAACGCUGGCGGUAGGCCUAAUACAUGCAAGUCGAGCGGCAGCACAGUAUGAGUUUGCUAUUACGGGUGGCGAGUGGCGGACGGGUGAGGAAUACAUCGGCAUCUACUUUUUCGUGGGGGACAACGUAGGGAAACUUACGCUAAUACCUCAUACGAUCUAACAGAGAAAGCAGGGGAUAUUCAGACCUUUCGAGAUUGAAUGAGACGAUGUGGGAUUAGUUAGUUGGCUGGGUAAAGGCCCACCAAGGCGACGAUCCUUAGCUGGCCUGCGAGGAUGGUCACCCACACUGGAACUGGGACACGGUCCAGACUCCUACGGGAGGCAGCAGUGGGGAAUUUUGGCCAAGGGGCGCAAUCCUGAUCCGGCAAUACCGCGUGGGUGAGGAAGGCCUUCGGGUGUUAAAGCCCGUUUGUUGGGAAAAAAGAGCAGCAGAUUAAUACCCCGCUGUAGUGACGGUACCCAAAGAAUAAGCACCGGCUAACUACGUG